UCUCUCUCUCUCCCCUCAUGCACGUUCCUUUUCCUCUUCCUUUUCAUUUUCUUUCUUCUUUCUUCCCCUCUUCUCCUCCAUUCCGCACGCUGCCCUCCUCUUCCCCUUUUCUCCUUCACCCCGUCUUACACACACGUUGAGAGAGACCGAAGCUUGAGAGUGAUGAUGCAGAGUUUGAGAAAAGAAGAAGGAUCCGGCCGUUGAGGAAGAUGGAGAUGGAAAAAUGGAGUUUCUGACCAUGGGUGUCAAGGAAGCUCAGUGAGACACAGAGAAAGUGAGACUGAGUAAGAGAGAUGUGAGCUGAAGGAGAGGGAAUAUUCAACGAUAAAGACCGAGUACUGAAGGGGGGCAGGAACUGAGAGAAGUAGAGAGAAGUAGAGGGAGAAAUCAGUGAGUGAACGAGAGGCUGUGAGAGAGUUUACCCGUAACCCGUGAACCCACCGAACUGUGCAACCCAGACCGAGCAGUGAACGAGGGAGACCCGACUUUCAGGGUCGUCGCCAGCGGUGGUCUAGAGUCCGAUUUCUGGCUUAUCAGAAGCUGGAAUUCCGGUGGGUCGACGAGCAGGCCCGAGCAAAAACCCGACCCGGUGGCCCGACGACCCGAGAGGAAGACCCGGUUCUUCCUGUACGUUUUCCGGUGGCUUUUCCGGCGAGGUCGGUGGCUUUUCCGGUGAAGGAUCCUUGGGGUAAAAGCUUGAUCCCGAUGCUAAUGGAAAGUCCAACUCAGUGAGACACAGAGAAAGUGAGACUGAGUAAGAGAGAUGUGAGCUGAAGGAGAGGGAAUAUUCAACGAUAAAGACCGAGUACUAAAGGGGGGCAGGAACUGAGAGAAGUAGAGAGAAGUAGAAGGAGAAAUCAGUGAGUGAACGAGAGGCUGUGAGAGAGUUUACCCGUAACCCGUGAACCCACUGAACUGUGCAACCCAGACCGAGCAGUGAACGAGGGAGACCCGACUUUCAGGGUCGUCGCCAGAGGUGGUCUAGAGUCCGAUUUCCGGCGUAUCAGAAGCUGGAAUUCCGGUGGGUCGACGAGCAGGCCCGGGCAAAAACCCAACCCGGUGACCCGACGACCCGAGAGGAAGACCCGGUUCUUCCUGUACGUUUUCCGGUGGCUUUUCCGACGAAGUCGGUGGCUUUUCCGGUGAAGGAUCCUUGGGGUAAAAGCUUGAUCCCGAUGCUAAUGGAAAGUCCAAGUUAUGAGCAGAGCAACCUAGGCGGCCGGGAUGGGAUCUAGGAAUGCAUUAGAACAUUGCAUUAUGUUACCUUAACAGGCUCGUGUCAUCAUUGGAGACUUUAAUUGGUUCUCCAAUGUUGUGUCCAUAUGAUUAGAAUCCAGUGGGAUGUUCGAGUCAUGAGUCCAAUGCAGCCAAGACAAUGUUCAUUUGGCUGUAGGUACUCCAAUCGUAGUUGAUGGUGUUGUAGAUGUGCACUUGGGAUAUUAUGACCGAAGCUCGCCGUGACGGUCGUAAUUGCGGGACCAUGGGCCUCCUCUGUUUUAUGGGUUUUGUUUAUAACUUGUGACGCCUGUGUCACUUGUUAUUGUAUAUAGUCAUUUAUGUUAUGUAUUUAACUUGAGGAAAGACUUAAAUAAAUAGAUGUAAUAUUGGCUCUUGAUUACGAUUAAUUUAUGAUAGAUGUUUAAGAUGUGA